rnacentral:SRP_RNA from 1 species
CCGUGCUAGAUGGGGAGUUAGCGGUGCCCUGUAACCUGCAAUCCGCUAUAGCAGGAUCGAACACCUAUCGAGGCCUUAAUUCUGUGAGGUCUGCCCUAAGAACGUGGUGUUGAGAAUCGGGUCCCACGCAAUGGAAGCCUAUGAACCUGGUCAGGUCUGGAAGGAAGCAGCCAUAAGUAGUCACUUUCAUGUGCCGUGGUAAAAUCUGGUUUGAGCUAACACUUAGGUAACGCUCAUAGAUUAUUGUCAGAGUAGGCGCACGG